UGUGUAGAAGCUUUUUAGUUUGAAUGUAGUCCCAGUUAUUUUUGCUCUUGUUGCCUUUGCUUUUGGCAUCAAAUCCAAAAAAAUCAUCACAAGACUGAUGUCAGGGAGCUUAUACUGCCUAUGUCUUCUACGAUUUUUAUGGUUUCGGGCCUUAUAGUCCAGUCUUUAAUCCAUUUUGAGUUUAUUAAUUUUUCCAAUCCAUGAGCUUGGGGUCUGUUUGUCUUUAGUUUCUUUCAUCGGUGUCUGAUACUUUUCAGUGUACAGUUUUUUCACCUCCUUGGUUAUACUUAUUGCUAGGUGUUUUAUUCUUUUUGAUGUAAUUGUAAACGGGACUGUCGUCUUCUCUUUCUGAUAGUUCAUUAGUGUACAGAAAUGCAACAAAUUUCUGUAUACUAAUUUUGUAUCUUACAACGUAAUUCAUUUAUUAGUAGUUAUUAGUAACAGUUUUUUUGGUGGAGUCUUUAGGGUUUUUUAUAUAUAAAAUCAUGUCAUCUGCAAAUAGUGACAGUUUUAUUUCUUCCUUUCCAACGUGGAUGCCUUUUAUUCUUUUCUUGCCUAAGUGCUCUGGCUAGUACUUCCAAUACUAUGUUGAAUCCAUUUAAAAUUUGACAUAAAAAUCAAAGUGGUCCCAAGAAAGAGGUUUGAAACUAAAUACUGAGCACUCACUGAGUUUCUGAACCAACUCCUUCCUUUUUAUGAAGCCCCAUGUGAGUAAUGUAGGCAUUAGAAACAAUCCAAAGCUACUACUGCCACCUCAAAACUUAAGAGGCUUACACGGUGAUCACUUUCUCUCAUGGUUUCUGUGGGUCAGGAAUUUUGGAAAGGCUCUCCCUGGCAAUUCUGACUCAGGGCAUCAGAUGCACGUGCAGUUAGACAGUGGCUGGAGCUGGAACAGGAGGUUGGAAUAGGGCUGGCCAUGCAUCUCUCUUUGCUUGUAGUUUCCAGGUCUCUCCACGUUGGUUGAUUUGGGCUUCCUCAUAGCAUGGUGGCUUCAGGAUUGUAGAACUUUUUACAUGGUGGCUCAAGGACUACCAGCUUGUGUGGUCCAACAAACCAGCCGUAAGCUGUGUUGCCUUUUACAACCUAGCCUUGGAUGCAUAUAGCAUUACUUUUGUCAUAUUAUCCAGUCACCUCUUGAUUGAUUUCGAGAAAGUCAGACUUUACUGACAUCUGAUUAACGGCCACAUCCACCCUCAAGAAGCCCAUCCUGUGUGGGAGGCAAGACAAGUCCAAAUGACACCAAGACAAUAUCAAAAGGUAAGCUGUUGCACGUAGAGGGCCAUGGGAGCUCAGGGGAAAGGAAAGGCAUUACGGACGUGGCCUUUCAGCGAGUUCUUAAACCAGAUUUCAACAUUUUCAAGGGCAUUAGCAAGGCCCAGAAGCAACUAAUGGUUGGUGAACAACAGCAAGUGAUUGGUUGAUUACAAGCAGAGGUGGCUAAAGGGGAGGAAUAGCGAAGAGGCCAGAAAUGCGGGCCAGAUCAAGGAAUGCCCAACUAAGACGCUUGGAGAGGGGAAGGUAGGCAGAAAAGUAAAUGUUCCUCUCCCUUCCAGACAUAAUUACCAUAGGAGAGAUGGUGGACUUUCCUUCUCGGCAAUGGCAAGACCUACCCCUGCUCCACCUCCUGAAUGUGGCAUUACGUCAAUCUCCAACUUGGACUAGUAUCAGCUAGCCCAAGAAGAAGGAGCUGUUGGUGACAGGACAGCACAGCCCCAUCGAGGCUACAGCCCCAGAACAAAAGGGAAACCACACACGAAAACUCAGCUGGCCCUUCCACCUACUUAGAGGGGCCUGAAAGCAGCAAUCCUCAGGCAAGGCAGGAAGGGGACUCCACACCUGGAGGGUCAGCCUGGUUUUACCAAGUACUUCGGAGCAGAUGCACGGCCUGAGGCAACUCACCAGGGUAAACAGGGCCUCACAGGGUUCCUGCACAAAGCACCCCAUCCAUCCUUCUUUAGAAAUCUGAACUUGCAUCGGGGGGAAAUCAUCCUGAAUGAGCACAGGAUUAAGGAACCUGGACCUGUCAGCCCUUCAAACUGACCACAAUCUCACAGCAGAAGCCCCGGCAGCUAACGCUACUACCCUCGGCAACUCAACCCCGACCAGAGGGCCGCCCCACCAUACUUGUCACAAAACUUCAAAUGGAACCUGACAGGCACGCAUGCCCCACAGGAAGGUGGCCAGGACAGAGGCUCGAGGCAGUGACAGAACCAAGAACGGGCAACGGGAGACAGGUAGUCGAAGGCUGCUGCACAAACAGUCCAUCUGUUCUGCCGUAGCCGCCCCACGAAGGCAGAAACUGUCUGGCAAAGAGGUUAGCUCCCUCUCUUCUGGCAGAUUUCCACUUAAGAGCUGCCAGAGACAAGGGUACUUAAACCCACUCCUGCCUCUGAGAACAAGGACCCAAGGCUCUUUACCAUGAAAAUUACAAACAGCCCCAGGCCAAGUCUAACCUAUCUUUUACACUUAAGUGGGUGGAGUGACUAUGAAGUGAAAGCCAGUUCCCAGUCUCGAGUCUCACAGGGGAAGCAAGCCCAUCGGCCUGCGCCCAGGUGAGCAGUGCUGCCCCCAUCUCUCUUUCUGAGCUGCUUCCAAGUGGACUCUGAGCACGGAGCAUUUAAAGACCACAGCUGCUGGUUGGUGGUGAAGGAGAAUGACACUGUUUACUCCCUACAACUACUUAACCUUCAGUAAGUGAGUAAAUUCUGAAAAGAGCAUUUUUAAAAAGUCAACUCAAGAUUUUCUUAGACACAGAUAAUAAGCACCCAGAGAACCCUUAACUCUGAAGUCACUUGGCUACCUAACGAUGAAACACACAUCCCUACUACUGGACCCUGUGGGGAGCAGCCCUCAGAGGCAGGGGAUGCGACAUGACUGAGUCUAUAAUCACCUCCAAAGUACUGAGAUCCUGGAAUAGUCCUGAAAGUGGCCUUUCAUUCCAGGGUUACAUUUUUACAUGUGGACUUGAUCCCGUGAGAUGACACUUCCUUCUGCAGAAUCACACCAUUACAGGCAGUGCAUACUAACCAAACUCUCAGCUGCAGAGCUAGACUCACUACAACUAGUGUGGCGAAAAAACAGGCUGAAUUACCCUCACAAGAUCCAAGAGACUUGUAACCCUUACGAUCCAAGUAUAUUUUUGAAAACCUGCAAAGACAUUGCACACUAAAAGACGCGGCAGCUGAAAACCUACACUGGCUGGUGGAAACGGACCUGAUUUUGUCUUGGCAAACGAGCUGUUCUAGAAGCAGUACGGACUGACCUGUUAUUCGCUUUCGUCUUCUGUAGCUGCUCGUCCUGCCUCGCAUACCACUCAUCCAGCUCCUUUAUUGCUUUUUCUUUCCACUCUGCUUCUUGCUUCCGAGAAUUGGCAUCUUUGAAGGGAAGGAAAAAGACGAUACAAAUGAGGCGAAAUGCAAAUUUUAGUCCGCUUCACCGUGUAUUUGGGCUUAUUAAUCUCAUGCUGUGUGCGGGCGCAUGUGUGUGUUGGAAGGAGAACAGUCGGGAGGGAAGAUAAAAUUCUCUUUUCCCUGAUUGUAUGUCCAGCUCUCGAUCUUAGCAAUUCUAUCCAAAGUGGUUCACCACCACUUAUCCCAGUCCACCUACACGUUAGUGGAUCACUAGUUUGGGGUUUUUUUUUUUUUGAGGUGGGGGAGAGGUGGAAAUACUGACUUUUAAUUUUAAAAAAGGCUUUUGGGACACCAAGUGGGGAAAAAGCAAUUACAGGUGAUUCUUUAAUGAUGCUGCCAGUUCAGGGUGGACUAUUCAUAUUAAAUAAUCUUUUAAUAAAAUCUCCUCACAAACUAUAUUCCACACAGGUUGGACAAUUAAUGGUAGAUGCACAUCUAUGAAGCAGGGAGCUAUGAGAAAAUUUAUCAGAGGUAGAGAUGAUUCCAGAAGCAGGAAACAGUAGGGUAUAGAUGGAAUUGAGGGGAGCACAAAAUAUCUACUCCUGCUUAGGCCACAGAGCGAGUCUGUGGCAGAGCUAGGGCAGAACUAAAGGAGAAACUCCAAUGCGGAGAACUGUGGGGGGAGAGGUGAGGGUCGUCAUGAACAGCUAUCCAAAAGGUUCUAGGUGAGAGAGAAAAUGCACACCUAGCAGGUGUGCCAGAUUGGGUUCUCACCCACAAAGUUUCUCAGGACUAAAUACAAGUUUCCCUAAGAUACUAAAAGAAACAUGUCAGUAAAUGGUAGAGAGAAGGAAAUACAAGUCAUACUUUUGCCACAGUUGACACCGGAAGUCACCCUAAUACCUAAACUUUAAGCACAUUCUUAAGGAUGUCCUCUCUGGCAGGUGUUUUACAGACAUCUCAUUUAAUCUUUACAACAAUCCCAAGAAGGUAAACUAGUCCCAUAUUCAGCAGUGAGAAAAGCUACAGCUCCGCAAGUUUGAGUAACGUUCCCAAAGGUUAUAGUAAGUGGUAGAGCCAAGAUUCACACCCAGGUCUGACUCUAAAGCUCACACAUUCUUACUUCACUGUGCUGCCUCCAAAGAGAGGGACGAGGGACGGAAAGGGAGGCAGGCCCAGCAACAGUCACAGAUGUGACCAGCAGAUGGGCAUCAGUGAUCCAGACCAGAGUCUGGACAGUGCAGAGCCAGAGCCCAACCUGUAAUGAGUGUCCUUGAGGAGCAAAGUACAAAGCAAACAACUUCUUGAAGGGAAGAAAGUAAGCAUUCAGGGGCAAUUAUAGGGCCUUUGCAAGAAAGGUCUUGUAGUAACAACCUGCAGAAGACUUUGUAACUACUAGAAAUAACCUAGUAGCAGCUAGAAACUCCCGCAAAGUUUCAGAUUAUAAAGAACUUUUUACCCUGUUAUCUAACUUAUCAGAAGGUGACAUAUUGGCUCAGGAGGAGAAUUAUUUCACUCAAAUUUUCCACUGAUGACUCAAGUAUACACAGUAAACUUGUGAUGUGUGUCUGUCCAUGGCAUUAAGUAUAUGUGGAAUGGAGGGUGCUGUGAUGCAGGGAGAGAUGCUGUGGGCCGACGGUGCCCUGUGGACAAGAAACUGAAAAAACUUUAAAGAAUAAGGUCUCCUUUUCAGGAGUUGUGAAAUUACUUCCAAAGAAUUACUUUUUGAUUGGAGAGUAUUUUCUUUCUGUAUAGUCUAAUGAUCAUUUUACUGCAUAAAAUAGUUCCUUUAAAUCAUCUUCUUUUAUAAAUUUAUGAAGUGACACUGCCAAUAAGAAUUCAGAAUUCUUAAACGCUUAGCUUGAUGGAACAAAGAUCCAAGCUGUAAUACAGCGUCUCUGAAUCUGGGAGGGAGAAGGGAGAGGAGAGGGUGAAAAAUCCUCUUAGAGAGCAGGGUACACUGACAGCUGUCUUCUCUGGCCAUACGCAUUAAUGUUCACAGAAAAUUAUUGGAAAACGUUAGCACACAGCUAAGCUUAAGACCAUGGACAUUGCUUCUCUAUUUUUAGCAUCUUGCACUUUCUCACAGUUCUUGCAACAGAAAAAUGUGAAACUGCAGAAACACCUAAUUCACGGACCAGUUUAAUUCGAUUCUACUGGAAUACGAGGCCAAAUGUUUGACUUCCCUCAGGAAGGCAACAUGAGUUAAGAAAAUAGCACUUCAUGGAAUAUUCCCAAAGGGCCCAAUUUGAUAACUGAAAAAGAAAAUGAAACUUUUCCAGACACCAAAGUGUACGCUCCUCCAUGGAGAAGACAACUUUGCUAAACUUUGGGGAAAGAGAAAAGAUAAAGCUGGGUUCUGCAUCAUGAAAAAGACUCCAGUAGUACUAAUACCUGCUAAGUCUCGCCUCUAAGUCUACUCAGAAGAGAUGCUCAAAGAAGAACAAGCAAGGACCAAGGCUGUUUGCACCAUGAAGACCUAUCUUCAUCUUUCUAAAGCUGCACUAUCCAGUACAGUGGCUACUAGCCUCAUGUGGCCAUUUAAAUUUAUUAAAAUUAAAUAAAAUUUAAAACUCAGUUUCUCAGACAUAAUAGCCACAUGCAGUUAGUGGCUACCAUACAGAAGAGCACAGAUAUAGAACAUUUCCAUCAUCAAAGAAACUACUAUUGGAUACUGCUGUAAAGGUUAAACGUAAGUGUGCCCUCUGUUCUGAAAGCCACAGAAACUGGGCUGGAGAGACACUAAUUGGCUGUAUUAUCUGGGUCAAUUCCUUUCCUAUUUCUGGGUGUCCUUUCCUAUUUCUACACCAUCUGAGUCAUGUUUUCACUAGUUCAGCGAUUCCCAAGAAGGAAUAAUAAUGCUGACACUGUGGUAACAUAGAAGCAUGUUGCUAUUUCUAGUUGUACAAUAAAAUAUUUAGGCACGA